rnacentral:rRNA from 1 species
AGGCUCAGGACGAACGCUGGCGGCGUGCUUAACACAUGCAAGUCGAGCGGUAAGGCCUUUCGGGGUACACGAGCGGCGAACGGGUGAGUAACACGUGGGUGAUCUGCCCUGCACUUCGGGAUAAGCCUGGGAAACUGGGUCUAAUACCGGAUAUGACCUCAGGUUGCAUGACUUGGGGUGGAAAGAUUUAUCGGUGCAGGAUGGGCCCGCGGCCUAUCAGCUUGUUGGUGGGGUAAUGGCCUACCAAGGCGACGACGGGUAGCCGACCUGAGAGGGUGACCGGCCACACUGGGACUGAGACACGGCCCAGACUCCUACGGGAGGCAGCAGUGGGGAAUAUUGCACAAUGGGCGAAAGCCUGAUGCAGCGACGCCGCGUGAGGGAUGACGGCCUUCGGGUUGUAAACCUCUUUCAGCAGGGACGAAGCGCAAGUGACGGUACCUGCAGAAGAAGCACCGGCUAACUACGUGCCAGCAGCCGCGGUAAUACGUAGGGUGCAAGCGUUGUCCGGAAUUACUGGGCGUAAAGAGUUCGUAGGCGGUUUGUCGCGUCGUUUGUGAAAACCAGCAGCUCAACUGCUGGCUUGCAGGCGAUACGGGCAGACUUGAGUACUGCAGGGGAGACUGGAAUUCCUGGUGUAGCGGUGAAAUGCGCAGAUAUCAGGAGGAACACCGGUGGCGAAGGCGGGUCUCUGGGCUUAGAAACNGACGCCGAGGAACAAAAGCGUGGGUAGCAACCAGGAUAAAAACCCCGGGUAGUCCUCCCCGNCACCGGCGG